rnacentral:rRNA from 1 species
GAUAGUACCUUACUACUUGGAUAACCGUGGUAAUUCUAGAGCUAAUACAUGCUAAAAACCCCGACUUCGGGAGGGGUGUAUUUAUUAGAUAAAAAACCAAUGCCCUUCGGGGCUCUUUGGUGAUUCAUGAUAACUUAACGGAUCGCAUGGCCUUGCGCCGGCGACGGUUCAUUCAAAUUUCUGCCCUAUCAACUUUCGAUGGUAAGGUAUUGGCUUACCAUGGUUUCAACGGGUAACGGGGAAUUAGGGUUCGAUUCCGGAGAGGGAGCCUGAGAAACGGCUACCACAUCCAAGGAAGGCAGCAGGCGCGCAAAUUACCCAAUCCCGACACGGGGAGGUAGUGACAAUAAAUACUGAUACAGGGCUCUUUUGGGUCUUGUAAUUGGAAUGAGUACAAUUUAAACCCCUUAACGAGGAACAAUUGGAGGGCAAGUCUGGUGCCAGCAGCCGCGGUAAUUCCAGCUCCAAUAGCGUAUAUUAAAGUUGUUGCAGUUAAAAAGCUCGUAGUUGAACCUUGGGCCUGGCUGGCCGGUCCGCCUCACCGCGUGCACUGGUCCGGCCGGGCCUUUCCUUCUGGAGAGCCCCAUGCCCUUCACUGGGUGUGCGGGGGAACCAGGACUUUUACUUUGAAAAAAUUAGAGUGUUCAAAGCAGGCCUUUGCUCGAAUACAUUAGCAUGGAAUAAUAAAAUAGGACGUGCGGUCCUAUUUUGUUGGUUUCUAGGACCGCCGUAAUGAUUAAUAGGGAUAGUCGGGGGCAUCCGUAUUCAAUUGUCAGAGGUGAAAUUCUUGGAUUUAUUGAAGACGAACUACUGCGAAAGCAUUUGCCAAGGAUGUUUUCAUUAAUCAGUGAACGAAAGUUAGGGGAUCGAAGACGAUCAGAUACCGUCGUAGUCUUAACCGUAAACUAUGCCGACUAGGGAUCGGGCGAUGUUACUAUUUUGACUCGCUCGGCACCUUACGAGAAAUCAAAGUUUU